GAAUCUUCCGCAAUGGGCGCAAGCCUGACGGAGCGACACCGCGUGCAGGAUGAAGGCCUUCGGGUUGUAAACUGCUGUCACGCUCUAGGAAUGACACGUCGUUAACGGCGGCGUGUUUGACUAAGGCGAAAGGAAGCCCCGGCUAACUCUGUGCCAGCAGCCGCGGUAAGACAGAGGGUGCAAACGUUGUUCGGAAUCACUGGGCAUAAAGAGCACGUAGGCGGUUCGCAAAGUCGUGCGUGAAAUCCCUCGGCUCAACCGAGGAAUCGCGCACGAUACUGGCGAGCUAGAGAUCGGUAGGGGUGAGUGGAACUCCAGGUGGAGCGGUGAAAUGCGUAGAUAUCUGGAGGAACACCGGUGGCGAAAGCGGCUCACUGGACCGACACUGACGCUGAGGUGCGAAAGCUAGGGUAGCAAACGGG
rnacentral:rRNA from 1 species